CGGAUUCUGGGCGUAAGCGCACGCAGGCGGUCUGUCAAGUCGGAUGUGAAAUCCCCGGGCUCAACCUGGGAACUGCAUUCGAAACUGGCAGGCUAGAGUCUUGUAGAGGGGGGUAGAAUUCCAGGUGUAGCGGUGAAAUGCGUAGAGAUCUGGAGGAAUACCGGUGGCGAAGGCGGCCCCCUGGACAAAGACUGACGCUCAGGUGCGAAAGCGUGGGGAGCAAACAGGAUUAGAUACCCUGGUAGUCCACGCCGUAAACGAUGUCGACUUGGAGGUUGUGCCCUUGAGGCGUGGCUUCCGGAGCUAACGCGUUAAGUCGACCGCCUGGGGAGUACGGCCGCAAGGUUAAAACUCAAAUGAAUUGACGGGGGCCCGCACAAGCGGUGGAGCAUGUGGUUUAAUUCGAUGCAACGCGAAGAACCUUACCUACUCUUGACAUCCAGAGAACUUUCCAGAGAUGGAUUGGUGCCUUCGGGAACUCUGAGACAGGUGCUGCAUGGCUGUCGUCAGCUCGUGUUGUGAAAUGUUGGGUUAAGUCCCGCAACGAGCGCAACCCUUAUCCUUUGUUGCCAGCGGU
rnacentral:rRNA from 1 species